GUCAGACUGGGGUUGAGCGUGUCGAUGUCAUAACUGGCGUCUCCCUCCAACAGCAAGUCCUGCAUGUUCCUGGAGCUGAACUCAGCCUGUAGGGCGAUGCUGUAAACAGGUGGCAUCUUACCAGUCAUGGGGGAGUGCAAGCUUCCAGUGGCUGAUGGGACGCCAGCUGCAGGCAGCUGUCCACAUGGGGACCCACCUGGCUUCGCCAUGCUCCUGCGAACAGUGACAGGGUCCUUGCGACGCCACUUGUGCAACUCCUCCUGCAUUUUCUCCACCUUGGCUGGAUUGAGAGCCCAAAGACAGCCUUUACGGGACGAGUUCCCAUUUUUGUUCUCCACCUUCUCAAAGCACUUGUUCAGGGAGAGGUUGUGACGCACAGAGUUCUUCCAUCCAUCAGGAGCUGACUGACAACAGAGAGUGGUAGAUAAAUGCAGAUGGAAAAUAAAAGGUUUAAAGCAGCUGUUCUGUUCUCUCUCAGAGUGGUACAGGAAGAAAAGUACUGAGCACACUAUUAGAGCUGCAACAUCCUAUCCACUGUGCUACCAGGAUACUUCUUAUCAUUUUCUAUAUAAAAUGCCAGAAAAUUGUAAAAUAUUAUCUUCCAGUGACGUCUUCAGAUAGCUUGUUUUGUCUGACCAAUGAUAUAUGACAUUCUAUUACAUAAGCCAAAGACAAGCAGCAAAUGUUUACAAGAUGGUACCAGUGAAUGUUGACAAAUGACAAUGAAAUCAAAAGUAGUUGGCAAAUUAUUUUAUGUCAAUCGACUGAAUGAUUAAUCGACACAUUUUCAGCUCUGUUACGCACUGUGUUUAGUUCCUUUGGAAAGUGAUAAAUAGCCCAGGAUAAUUCAACAAGAGUCUACAGCCACACCAGCAGCUCUGUGAGUCUGUCCUUAGGCACAGCAGUGCCUUGAGCUAAAUGCUAACAUGCUGAUGUUAAGCAGUUAUGUAUUUACCAUGUUCACCAUCUUAGUUUAGCAUGUCAGCAUGCGGAUAUUUGCUAAUUAGCACAUAGCUCAAAGUACAGCUGAGGCUGAUAGAAAUGUCAUGAGUUUUGCAGGUAUGUAGUCAUAAACCAAAGAAUUGAACAAAUACACAUUUUGACCUGUUGAUGGCGCUUAAUGAAAUGUUAAGGGACCACCAAAGUUAUUACAAUUCAUCCUAAGGGGGACAUGAAUGUUUGUACAAAAUGUCAUGGCAAUCCAUCAAAGAGACAGUUUGAAGUUUAUUUUGUCACAUGCUCAACAUAUUUUUCCAUCGUACAAUGAAAUGCUUUCUUGCCGCGCUUCAAAUAAAAAUACAAUACCUGUCACCAUGUUAUGAUGUAUUUCUGAGUUUUAGGUGCAAUCGUUUCCCAAAAGACAAUGAGACUUUUACUGAAGUGCCCCCUGGAAUAUGUUCCCACAUUCAAGACCUCUUUGACAGAGAGAGCCUUCCUCUAUCCUCUAUCUCUCUGUCAUUCUGCCUCGCCCUCCAGGCCAGGGUUGUUCAAGGUAUAGCAACAGAGCAGCUGUUUGGAAAGCAGCCAUCUAUAAGGUCCCUUCUUGAAUAUAAAUGGCAGCAAGUCUUUGAGCUCUUUCCAGAGGAUGUUGGUGCCUCGCUGCUUGACCUGUGUGAAAGAGUGUCAGAGCUGCACACCUCCUGCAGACAGCUGAAGGAAGACGAGCACUGUUGGAGGCAACCCGCAGCCGUCACUGCUCCAUCGCUGAACUGUCGACGGUAUGG